AUUGAACGCUGGCGGCAGGCCUAACACAUGCAAGUCGAACGGUAACAGGAAGAAGCUUGCUUCUUUGCUGACGAGUGGCGGACGGGUGAGUAAUGUCUGGGAAACUACCUGAUGGAGGGGGAUAACUACUGGAAACGGUAGCUAAUACCGCAUAACGUCGCAAGACCAAAGAGGGGGACCUUCGGGCCUCUUGCCAUCGGAUGUGCCCAGAUGGGGUUAGCUAGUAGGUGGGGUAACGGCUCACCGAGGCGACGAACCCUAGCUGGUCUGAGAGGAUGACCAGCCACACUGGAACUGAGACACGGUCCAGACUCCUACGGGAGGCCGCAGUGGGGAAUAUUGCACAAUGGGCGCAAGCCUGAUGCAGCCCUGCCGCGUGUAUGAAGAAGGCCUUCGGGUUGUAAAGUACUUUCAGCGGGGAGGAAGGGAGUAAAGUUAAUACCUUUGCUCAUUGACGUUACCCGCAGAAGAAGCACCGGCUAACUCCGUG
rnacentral:rRNA from 1 species